AUGAACGCUGGCGGCGUGCCUCAUACAUGCAAGUCGAGCGAACAGACGAGGAGCUUGCUCCUCUGACGUUAGCGGCGGACGGGUGAGUAACACGUGGAUAACCUACCUAUAAGACUGGGAUAACUUCGGGAAACCGGAGCUAAUACCGGAUAAUAUAUUGAACCGCAUGGUUCAAUAGUGAAAGACGGUUUUGCUGUCACUUAUAGAUGGAUCCGCGCCGCAUUAGCUAGUUGGUAAGGUAACGGCUUACCAAGGCAACGAUGCGUAGCCGACCUGAGAGGGUGAUCGGCCACACUGGAACUGAGACACGGUCCAGACUCCUACGGGAGGCAGCAGUAGGGAAUCUUCUGCAAUGGGCGAAAGCCUGACGGAGCAACGCCGCGUGAGUGAUGAAGGUCUUCGGAUCGUAAAACUCUGUUAUUAGGGAAGAACAAAUGUGUAAGUAACUAUGCACGUCUUGGCGGUACCUAAUCAGAAAGCCACGGCUAACUACGUG
rnacentral:rRNA from 1 species